CGGAUGGGCUACUCGCCUUUCUUUUCUCUCUCUCGCUCGCUCGCUCUACUGCUCUCGCUCUCUCCUGCGCUCGCUCUCACUGCACAACUAGGUUAAUUGGGAACCCACCUGCAUAUUGAUUGCAGGCUGGCAUCAGGUAUAAAGCUAAGCCGGUGCUUCUCUGGACUAUUCCUCCCAUGCAUUCAGCGCAAAGCAGCAGUAAAUGCUGGUACUCUGCGACGGACUGAUCAGCAAGAGUAGCUCAUAUGACAGCCACAGCGCAGCAGUUUGUUUUAUUCCGGCGUUGCGGAGAGAGGUGCUCUGUGAUCCCCACAAGUGAGAGUAUAACGCCUCCGGUCCUGGGGGUUUGAUCGCUGCCUUGACCUCCGUGGCAACUCGCACAGCCUUAAUUGAAGAAUCAAGACGCCUGCCUAGCCGUUGUUGUGAGGGCUCCUCCUCGGUGGAGCCUGGCCUGCUGUCUUGUCUUGUCUGGUUUUGAAUUGUUUUAUAUUGUCUUAUUUUGUUUUAUUAAGUAGGCCUACCAUUUCCUGGUUCGCCUGGUUUUAUUUUAUUUUAUCUCUGGACUGUUGCGCGUGCCCACGCUUCUGUGAUCGGGCUGAAGCAAUCCUUUGCCCGAGUGUCGGGAAUUUUAAAUUGCCUCCGUUGCUGGUUUUAGCCUGUGGGGAGCCAGACCAGCUUGCGAUUGAGGCUUGGACAACUACUACCAGUACGAGUGGACCCGUGGGGCAUAAGCCUUCCAGUGUGUGUGCGUGUGUGCGGUUUCUUUUAUUAAAGUGUGUUUUAGUUUUUUAUGAUCUGUAGCGAGCCAGACGCUCAGUGUCCCUUUUAUUCUUUUAACAUAUUUCUGUUUUAUUUCAGUGGACGAAGGACGUGCCAGUGGCCCUGGGACCUCAGGUGGUGGGUCGUUUUCACACUUUCUUUUGUACAGCACCUGGUGGGCUGCAGUGAUUUUCGUUUUGUGUGAUUUUCGUUUUGUGUGAUUUUCGUUUUGUGUGAUUUUCGUUUUGUGUGAUUUUCGUUUUGUGUGAUUUUCGUUUUGUGUGAUUUUUCCUUUGGGUCCACGGCUGCUGGUAAGUCAAAGUUCCAUGAUUGUUUUAUUUUCACUUUAGGACACUGUCAACAAUGACGCUACAUCUUGGUUUCUAAAUAUUUUAUUUAUUUUUACUAUAAAUAAAACUGUUUUAAUAUUGGA